UACGAAGGGGGCUAGCGUUGUUCGGAAUUACUGGGCGUAAAGCGCACGUAGGCGGAUCAUUUAGUCAGGGGUGAAAUCCCGGGGCUCAACCUCGGAACUGCCUUUGAUACUGAUGGUCUCGAGUCCGGAAGAGGUGAGUGGAAUUCCUAGUGUAGAGGUGAAAUUCGUAGAUAUUAGGAAGAACACCAAUGGCGAAAGCAGCUCUCUGGGACGGUACUGACGCUGAGACGCGAAAGCGUGGGGAGCGAACAGG
rnacentral:rRNA from 1 species